rnacentral:rRNA from 1 species
AGAGUUUGAUCCUGGCUCAGAACGUACGCUGGCGGCACGCCUAACACAUGCAAGUCGAACGAAGUAGCAAUACUUAGUGGCAGACGGGUGAGUAACAUGUGGGUAUCUGCCCUUUGGCCUGGAAUAACACGAGGAAACUUGUGCUAAUACCGGAUAAGUCUUUACGUAGAAAGCUUUAUGCACCAUUGGAUGAGCCCGCACUUGAUUAGUUUGUUGGUGGGGUAAUGGCCUACCAAGACUGUGAUCAAUAGCUGAUUUGAGAGGAUGAUCAGCCACAUUGGGACUGAGACACGGCCCAAACUCCUACGGGAGGCAGCAGUGGGGAAUCUUGCACAAUGGAGGAAACUCUGAUGCAGCGAUGCCGCGUGAGUGAAGAAGGCCCUUGGGUUGUAAAGCUCUUUCGUCGGGGAAGAAAAUGACUGUACCCGAAUAAGAAGGUCCGGCUAACUUCGUGCCAGCAGCCGCGGUAAUACGAAGGGACCUAGCGUAGUUCGGAAUUACUGGGCUUAAAGAGUUCGUAGGUGGUUGAAAAAGUUGGUGGUGAAAUCCCAGAGCUUAACUCUGGAACUGCCAUCAAAACUUUUCAGCUAGAGUAUGAUAGAGGAAAGCAGAAUUUCUAGUGUAGAGGUGAAAAUUCGUAGAUAUUAGAAAGAAUACCAAUUGCGAAGGCAGCUUUCUGGAUCAUUACUGACACUGAGGAACGAAAGCAUGGGUAGCGAAGAGGAUUAGAUACCCUCGUAGUCCAUGCCGUAAACGAUGUGUGUUAGACGUUGGAAAUUUAUUUUCAGUGUCGCAGCGAAAGCGAUAAACACACCGCCUGGGGAGUACGACCGCAAGGUUAAAACUCAAAUGAAUUGACGGGGACCCGCACAAGUAGUGGAGCAUGUGGUUUAAUUCGAAGAUACGCGCAGAACCUUACCAACACUUGACAUGUUCGUCGCGACUCUAAGAGAUUAGAGUUUUCGGUUCGGCCGGACGAAACACAGGUGCUGCAUGGCUGUCGUCAGCUCGUGUCGUGAGAUGUUGGGUUAAGUCCCGCAACGAGCGCAACCCUCACUUUUAGUUGCCAUCAUUAAGUUGGGCACUCUGAAAGAACUGCCAGUGAUAAGCUGGAGGAAGGUGGGGAUGACGUCAAGUCCUCAUGGCCCUUACGUGUUGGGCUACACACGUGCUACAAUGGUAUCUACAACAGGAAGCAAGACUGCGAAGUUAAGCAAAUCCCUAAAAGAUACCUCAGUUCGGAUUGCACUCUGCAACUCGAGUGCAUGAAGCUGGAAUUACUAGUAAUCGUGGAUCAGCGUGCCACGGUGAAUGCGUUCCCGGGUCUUGUACACACCGCCCGUCACACCAUGGGAGUUGGUUCUACCUUAAGGCAAGGUUUUAAACCCUUGACCACGGUAUAGUCAGCGACUGGGGUGAAGUCGUAACAAGGUAACC